rnacentral:ncRNA from 1 species
GAAAAGACGUUGAUCAGGAAAAAAGCCGCACGUUUAUUCACAGAGAGUUGCCGCUUGGUGCAAGGCAAUAUUAAAGGUCGGAUAUAGCUCGCCUGAGAGUCGCAUGACUGAACAUUGCAGUAAGUUAUGACGGGUUCUCCCGUUACAGAGAAGCACAUUGUUAGAUGUGGCAUAAGCGGACACGGCAGUAAACGCUGUGUCAAAAAGAGUGGUACCACGAGGAUUUACCCCGUCUCUUUA